UGCAAACAAUGAGUCUCUGACUCGGCGGAGAGCAUGGGUACGGGCGCUGGCUCCAUCCAAGAAGCUGGUGGGCCCUUCGGAAAAGGAGAGAAGGCUGAAGAGGAUCGGUACUUCCGAGAGAAGGCUAGAGAACAGCUAGCUGCCCUGAAGAAACACCGUGAAGAGGAGAUUGACCACCAUUCGAAGGAGAUAGAACGUCUGCAGAAACAAACUGAAUGGCAAAUUGAAGAAGAUUAAGAACCUAAAGAGCAGUGAUCACUAAACGCACACAGUCCCUCACCGAAGGCCCGUAUCAUUCCCCACUUCUGUAGAAACAUUGUUUUGAAUGAUUAAUAUUUGGCCUGUGAUACUAACAGAUAAUAAAUUAUCCCCAGGAAAAAAAAUUCAUGGGAAUAAAGAAAAACAGGAAGCGA
rnacentral:lncRNA from 1 species